AUGGCUCAGGACGAACGCUGGCGGCGUGCUUAACACAUGCAAGUCGAACGAAGCUUGAUUACGGAAUUCUUCGGAAAGAAGUAUGAUAUGACUUAGUGGCGGACGGGUGAGUAACGCGUGAGUAACCUGCCUUUCAGAGGGGGUUAACGUUUGGAAACGAACGCUAAUACCGCAUGAAAUAUAUUUAAGGCAUCUUAGAUAUAUCAAAGAUUUAUCGCUGAGAGAUGGACUCGCGUCUGAUUAGAUAGUUGGUGAGGUAACGGCUCACCAAGUCGACGAUCAGUAGCCGGACUGAGAGGUUGAACGGCCACAUUGGGACUGAGACACGGCCCAGACUCCUACGGGAGGCAGCAGUGGGGAAUAUUGCACAAUGGGCGCAAGCCUGAUGCAGCAACGCCGCGUGAGGGAAGACGGUCUUCGGAUUGUAAACCUUUGUCUUUGGUGAAGAAGAAAGUGACGGUAGCCAAGGAGGAAGCCACGGCUAACUACGUGCCAGCAGCCGCGGUAAUACGUAGGUGGCAAGCGUUGUCCGGAAUUACUGGGUGUAAAGGGAGCGCAGGCGGGACAGCAAGUUGGAUGUGAAAUACCGAGGCUUAACCACGGAGCUGCAUCCAAAACUGUUGUUCUUGAGUGAAGUAGAGGUAGGCGGAAUUCCGAGUGUAGCGGUGAAAUGCGUAGAUAUUCGGAGGAACACCAGUGGCGAAGGCGGCCUACUGGGCUUUAACUGACGCUGAGGCUCGAAAGUGUGGGGAGCAAACAGGAUUAGAUACCCUGGUAGUCCACACUGUAAACGAUGAUUGCUAGGUGUGGGGGGUCUGACCCCCUCCGUGCCGGAGUUAACGCAAUAAGCAAUCCACCUGGGGAGUACGGCCGCAAGGUU
rnacentral:rRNA from 1 species